rnacentral:rRNA from 1 species
GGCCAUCUAAGUCAGACGUGAAAUCCCCCGGCUCAACCUGGGAACUGCGUCUGAUACUGGAAGGCUCGAGUUUGGGAGAGGGAUGUAGAAUUCCAGGUGUAGCGGUGAAAUGCGUAGAUAUCUGGAGGAAUACCGGUGGCGAAGGCGGCAUCCUGGACCAAUACUGACGCUGAGGCGCGAAAGCUAGGGGAGCAAACGGGAUUAGAUACCCCGGUAGUCCUAGCCCUAAACGAUGAAUACUUGGUGUGGCGGGUAUCGAUCCCUGCCGUGCCGAAGCUAACGCAUUAAGUAUUCCGCCUGGGGAGUACGGUCGCAAGGCUGAUACUCAAAGGAAUUGACGGGGGCCCGCACAAGCGGUGGAGCAUGUGGUUCAAUUCGACGCAACGCGAAGAACCUUACCUGGGCUCGAAAUGCAGAUGACAUCCGGUGAAAGCCGGCUCCCGCAAGGGCAACUGUAUAGGUGUUGCAUGGCUGUCGUCAGCUCGUGUCGUGAGAUGUUGGGUUAAGUCCCGCAACGAGCGCAACCCUCGUCCUCUGUUGCCAUCAGGUCAAGCUGGGCACUCUGGGGAGACUGCCGGUGAUAAACCGGAGGAAGGUGGGGAUGACGUCAAGUCAGCAUGGCCUUUAUGUCCAGGGCCACACACGUGCUACAAUGGCGGAUACAAAGCGCAGCAAACUCGCGAGAGUGAGCCAAUCGCAUAAAGUC